ACUCUUACGGAUUAAUACGUGUCUGUAGGGCAAUCCGGUGGACUUGAUCGGCCUUUUACUUCGAAAGUUGAGUAAUCGGUGUCGCUUUCUUACGCAUCUUUGAACUGUAUAAAUGUUUUAAAAUUGUUUGAUCCAGAAUGUACCACACCGGACAAUCAAGAAGGCAGGUGCCUUGACUACAGAAAAUGUAAACCUCUGCAAGAAAUAUGGCAGAUACAGUACCGUACAGCCACCGAUUUUUAUAGACGAUCAGUGUGCAGAUACCAGGGCAAUGUUACGAUCGUUUGCUGUCCGAACGAUCCAAACAAAGAGAAGAGAGAAAUUUUAAUAAAAACUGUGUAUAAGUAUAAGGCUUUGCGACCACCAUACUGUGGUUUUAGCAACGUCUCUCAUACCAGGGUGGUCGAUGGUAAACCAGCUGAACUUGGAAGAGUAUCUUUUUGCUUGAAAUAAAAAAUUGAUAUAGGAGUAAUAAUAUGGAUAGAGAUCAAAAACUGUUAGGGCAGAAAUUACACGUUUGAACUUUAUAGUUCAGUAUAGUUCAAAUAGAAAUUAUAUAGAAUUAUUUAAUAAUUUGUAUUCCACUGGAAUAAAAAUUUAAUUUCUGUCUUUAUCAAAUCUCUGUUUCAGAGUAUUUGUACGUAUGUACUUAUCGUCUGCUGUAUGAUCGAAUUUCGAAUAGGUAAUAAUCGUUGUUACUCGUUAUGUGAGAAAAAAUUAUGUAUAUUCACAACUAUGACUAUUGCAUUUUAGGCGCUUGGCCAUGAAUCGCUGCAUUAGGUUUUCGUAAUCCCCGAAACCCAGACAAACCACUAUGGAAGUGCGGAGGUUCCCUGAUAUCGGCUAGGCAUGUUUUGACCGCAGCACAUUGUGCACAUAUGGAUGGAAUAGAAAACAUACACAAUCAUAAUAUUGCCAUUCUUAGAUUGGUGGAGGAGGUGCCAUUUUCGAGGUACGUAUAUCCCAUUUGUACGAAAGAGCCCCUACGAAAGAGCAACUUCGUCGGCUAUAACCCCCUUGUUGCUGG